AGACCAGGGAUCUGCAUGCUGGUCCUCGUGCUUUCAGAGACAACGCGCUCAUCAGUCAGGGGAGGCCACUUUCAAAGCACAGGGGGACAAAAGGGCCUCCUCCUCAUGCCCAGGUUGCUAGGCCAUCAGCUUGAAGUCUGACUGUCACCUGGGGCACAUACCAGUUCUUUAGGAGGUCAAGACAACAGCCUGAGAAGUGAGGAAACUCCAUCAAAGCAGUUCAGCACCUUUCCUGCAAUUUAUAGUCUGAGAGUGGCAAGGAUCAGGAUCUGAACCCAGUGCAUCGUGACUCAGAGCUGAAUUCUCUGUCCACUUCCCCAUGAGUAUCGUCAUCACAUCAUCAUUCUGUAGGGGUUAUCGGAAUGGUUCUACAAAUGUUAAGCACUCCUUUCAUUGCUGUUAUUAUUGUUACUAAUUAUUCACUUCUGCUUCCCACCUAAGGCUAUCCCAAGAUGGGAGUCAUUAAACUCUUUGAGAUC